rnacentral:piRNA from 1 species
AAAGAAUUUGUAUGAAACUUCGC